CUACUCAGGAAACACUGAUUCAAAUGCAGGCUACCCAUAUAAAACAAAUUACUUUCAUUUUAUUGUUGAAAUUCUAACAGUUUGUUUUAUCAGUGUGGUAUGAUUGCAUUGCUGUGAUCAAACAUCCAUUUGUUUGCAGACUGGAGGCCUUCCCUUCACUUAUUUAGACAAUUUGCAAUAAUAGCAAUGAGCGCAGAGCCUAAUUAUGAAGAUGAGAAAUAAAUAAAAUAAUUGCAAAGAGAGGAAACUGCUCUGAAAAUGCCGCACGAAUAACAAAGGUAUUUACCAAGGACGCCUGCACUUAAUGCUUCAAAUUGUGUUGGCACAGUAAUAUGAUAUUGGGUUUAUUUGUUUGGUUUUAGUUUGUAUCACAAAGUUUAACAGAACCCGUGCAAACUCUUCAUGAGCGCACCUUUUUAGGUCUGACUAAUGUCUGAUGGUGUUCGCUCCCCCGCAGCUGCGCUGAAUGGGUCGCUCCACUCUGCCCGGUUUGUCCAAUGGUAGAAAGGCACAGGGAUGGGAGCUCUCCCCCCUAUUGGUUCCCUAUAGCGUGAUCGAUCUAACAUGAUUGAUCGCGUCCUUAGGCCACAUUUGCAAGCGGGCACAAACUAAAAAAAAAAGUGCUCCGCGGAGAGAAAGCACACAAGUUUGCGUAUCCGUCGGCUUUCACGGAGCGUCCAGCCAUCGAUCAUCUGCCCCGCGGUGCCACCGCCGGUGUCACAACAUGGAUAAUGCGGCUUCACUCGUUCGGCGCUGACUCCUGAGCAACAACGUCCCUGAGCGGUCAGAUCCGAUGGGACGAUUUUACUGGUAUGAAAUGACCGGUAAAAAAAAAAAAAACUGCCACAGUCUGGCCGCCGCGGCUCUGAGGAUCAGACAGACGGGCCAGAGGAUCCACGGGGGCGCGGGACUUUUACGCACUGACAAAAACACGGAUCAUCGCAAAACCUGGGCUGACUUGUUGAUCUUUUUAUUAUUUCAGCUGUCUGCUGAAUGUUGCUGCUGAUAUUGCAGUGAUUCCCACAAGGUUUGCUGAGUUACUUGACAAAGUACAUAACAUAAAAUUGAGCACUUCAUCCAUCCAUCUGCUGACAAGCUUUAUGGAUUUUCAGACUUCAUUCUCCAGGAGGACUCGGCAACAGCCCGCAAUGCCAAAAGUACCAACAGCUGCUUUAUCAACCACGGUGUCCCUGUGGUUGGUUGGUCAGCAGACUUGCCUGACCUAAAGCACACAGAGAACCUACGGAGUGUUGUCAAAGAGGAACAUGAGAGAGACCAGAGCCAACAAUGCAGACCAGCUGAAGGCCGCUAUCAAAGCAACCUGGGCUUCAUUAACACCUCAGCAGGGCCACGGGCGCUUCGCCUUGAUCCCACGCUGCAUUGACGCAGCGAUUCAUGCAAAAGGAAGCCCAAUCAAUUACUGAGUGUAUAUGGACACCGUUUUCUGCAAGCGGACUGUGUUUCAAUCCCUCCUUUGUUGGUUCUGUGUAAUAAUCCAGUAAUGUAACAAACACUUCAAACAAACCCCUCUGUCCAUAACGAGCCUGUGCCAUAUGGGAAAACAAGUUUUAAUUGAAUUACCGAAAAUAUAUUUACAGUGAUAGUC